UCUGGCUGAGCUUGCGGCGGGGCACUCUCUGGGCCCCCCAGGCAAUGAGGGGAGGCGUCUUUGAGCUUUUAGGGUCCUCUUAGAGGGGUUACAAAGGAAACUGUUGGAGGCGCGGGAAGCCCAUCCUGGGGCCCCGGCUCCGGUGGAGCCCGGGGUCUUGGAACCCAGGAGGCAGAAGGCGAGAGGACGGGUGCUUCCCCAGUCCUAAGCCAACACCCCUAGGCACUUGGCCAAGGGCCUGGUGUUAAAAAUCUUGGCUGUAGGGAAGCAGAUUCCACACCCCGAGGAAGGAGCACGACAGCGAAGUGGGGGCCUAGUCCAACCUUCUGAUCCCGGCGACAUGGCACCUUUUGCUGAAAGCAAAUAUGGCUCCGAGUGCAGUUCAAACAACAAAGGCUGGGCGGAUCAUGUUACCCCGAGAGACCACCUUCCUCUGGAAGUCCCCCUGAGUCGUGGGGCUGAGCCACCUGGGUUUCUGAGGAAAUCUCUGGUGACAUUCAAAGCUCGAAGACGAUGUCCGGGUUAUAAAGAAAGGAGAAGUGAUUUGGAUCUGGAAAAGGAGCUGAUGAUGCUCAGGCCAUUUUGAAAUGGCCUUUUAUCUUCCCAGUCACCUUUCUGGUUGUCCUUGGAGAAAAGCUGAUGGGGCUGACUGGCAGGUGACAGAUCCAAGAAAUUCUAGAGGGCAAAGCCACCGUGUGUGGCUUGCAUCUGUAUCUCCAGCACAAAGUGGAUGUACAUUCGUGGGUAGCUGAACUGAGGGUUGACCACCUCUCCUAGAUAAGUCCUGCAUUCCACCAUGUUUACUUGUCAGGUGUUUUGGUCCUAGUGGGAGGCCCAUGAAGACCUUUUUCAGGAUAUUCACACAUUUGCAUCUGUAAGCUGGACUUCCAAACGUUUUUCUUUCUUUUUUAAAAGCAGCUGUACUAAAACAUUAAAACAAGUUGCAGAUAGAAAUAUGAUGACUCUUUCUCAGGUCUUUAUCAUAUUCAUCUUAAAACAAAGUAUGUUGCUUUCAGAAAAAAAAAUAAUAAUUUACCAGCACCAGAGUUAUAAAAGUAAGCAGGAGAAGGAUGCUGGCCAAGAGGUGCCUUACUUCACCUGGGAUAGGAGGUCAGGGAAGUCUUCCCUAUGAAUGAUAUUGAGCUUUGAUAAAUUUGAAGAAAAAGUUACUACUGGAAGGCCAAGGGGAAGAGAGAGAGAGGAAAGAGAAUUCCAAGCUGAAGGAACAGCCUUGCCAAGUUGUGAAGGUGUGGAAAUGCAUGACCUGUUCAAAGUAGCUAAAGUUAAGUAUGUUGGCCUGGAAAGUAGUGAGAUGAAAAGCUUUCCUAUAGAACAAAAACCAUCAGUGAGAGAAAUGUAAUGAGAGAGAUGAUGAAUGAAAGAAAAAAACCUUCAAUUACAUUGGCAACAGACGUUUGAAGUGCCCAGGGAUAAAAUUCAGUAUGAAGAAAACAACGUAUACUUACUCCUGGACUAGGAAAAAACAAAAACCAACUAGUGUAAGGGAAGAAGCACCAUGUCCUUAAUGGUCAGCCUCCAUUUUGUAAAGAUGUCACUUCUCCCAGAAAAAGCCCUAUAAAUUCAGUGCGGUUUCCAUAAAAUGCAGUAUAUUUUUGUGGUAAAAAAUGAUAAAAUGAUUCUAGGGCUAGGGAUAUAGCUCAGUAGAGUGCUUGAAUCACAUGCAUAAAGCCCUGGGUUCAAUCCCCAGCCCCCGCCCACACACACACAAAAAAAAGAUUCUAAAGUUUAUUUGGAGGAGUCAGUGUGUAGAAUAGCUGAAAAACACCUGGUAAAAAUAAGAGAGUAUGAGGACUGAUUUGUUUCCUUGAUUUAUUUAUAAAUUACAAUAUACAUAUAUAUCACAAAGAGGUAAGCAAUGUGGUUCUUGCACAGGAAAUGACUAGACCAAUGGAACAAAACUGUCCUACGCAUUUAUGUAUGGGCACUUGGAGGGAUUCAAAAUUGGGGGAGAAAGAAUGAGUUCAACAAAUGAUGUUGCAAUAAUUGAUAAUCAUGUGAAAAAAUGAUUCAGUCUGUAUUGAAAAAUACAUUCCAGAUUAAAAGUCUAGUCCUUAGGAAAAAACA